rnacentral:rRNA from 1 species
UACGGAGGGUGCAAGCGUUAUCCGGAUUUACUGGGCUUAAAGGGUGCGUAGGCGGGCUGGGAAGUCAGUGGUGAAAUACUUUCGCUUAACGAAGGAACUGCCAUUGAUACUAUCAAUCUUGAAUGUAGUGGAGGUAGGCGGAAUGCGUCAUGUAGCGGUGAAAUGCUUAGAUAUGACGCAGAACACCAAUUGCGAAGGCAGCUUGCUGCACUACUAUUGACACUGAGGCACGAAAGCGUGGGGAUCAAACAGG